rnacentral:piRNA from 1 species
UGUUUUGUUUUUUUCUGCUGACACAAG